rnacentral:lncRNA from 10 species
AUGGGCAAGAGGAAAGACAGAACCAUGGUGCAACAGAGCUGCAUGGCCCUCAGAACCCUAAGAACACAGCUGCACGGUCCUCAGAACCCUAAGAACACAGCCAGGCUCAGGGCUCUGCAGGUGGAGUCACACUCAACCCACAGCCUCCUUCCCACAUUAGCAGCCACCUCAGCCCAUCCAGCCCAGCCCAGGCCAGUCCAGCUCAGUCCAGUCCAGUCCAGCCCAAGUCAGCCUAGCUUAGCUCAGCCCAGCUCAUCCCAGCUGAACUCACUUAGAUCACCCCAGCCCAAUUUAGUUCAAUAAUUUAAGCCCUGCUCACUCCAGCUUUUAACCCUGUCCAUCAGCAGGUCUCUCAUCCAGCCUAGCCCUCCUCAGCUCAAUCCAAUUUAGCUCAGCCCAACUUAGCCUAACCAGCUAAGCUUGGCUCAGGUCUGUUCAGCUCCGCUCAGCCCGGCUCAGUGCAGCUCUGCUAAGCCCAGGCCAGGUCAGGUAAGCUCAACAGGUAAUACCCUAGCUUGGUGUCAGUCCAGAUAGUCCACGAACACCCCUUUUAUCCUAAGUAGAGAACUGUAGCUUGUCCCUACUCCUGUGUCGGCCCAGCUUAUUUCAACCAAGUCCAGCCGAGUCCAGGUCAGCCUAAUUUAGCUUAACCCAAUCCUGGACCACUCAGUGCAGGCCACCUCAGCUCAGCCUGAUUUUGCCCUGCCCCCCAGAUAAGUCCAGCUCAGCCCAGCUCAGUCCACCUUAGGGCUUAGAAUAACCCAGCUCAAACCUGGCUCAAUUGAGGGUAGAUCAUCUCACUCUACCCAGUCCACUCACUCAGCUCAGCUAAACCCACCUGGCCCGGGCCAGCCCCGAUCGCCCUGGCUCAGUACAGCUCAGCUUGGCCAGCCUAUCCUCUAAAGGGACAGGGUAGCCCUCUCAGCCCACCCAGCUCGCCUCAGCUCAGUCUGUUCUGCCUGUCCGUCUAGUCCACUCAGUCCAUCCAGC